GUGAGAUGGAAUCAAUAUUUGGAAAUGCGAUUUCACGUUGAUUUCAUCUCAUGA
rfam:Solanum lycopersicum cultivar Heinz 1706 chromosome 4, whole genome shotgun sequence.